AGAUGCUUGGUCUUCUAGGCUCCAGCAAUGGCGCGGAUUUUGGUUUCUUUAUGGAGAUUUUCUAUGGCUAUGAGAAAUUUGUUUGUCCAUGUGAAAGCGAGUGGCUGCACCAAAUCCAUCCAGUGGCCUGCCCGUGCAUCACUAAAGCUGGGAAGGAGAUGCUUUUGGAGGCCAGAUCGGACCGAGGCUGGGGCACGCGUUCCAGCCUCAGAUUCUGCGCCCCUAGCAGCAAGGUCGCGAGGCAAAGCGGUCGCAUGGGAGGCCACUGGAGAAUAUGGUAAAUCUGUUUUGCUGAGUGGCGCUGCUCUCCUGUUUGUGCCACUGGGCCGAGAGCUGUGUCAUCGGGUUAGACAGCCAUGUUCUUCAUAGUGUUCCUCGUCGUCUGUGGCAGAGUAGUAGGGAUGGAGAGUCCAUGGGUGGAGGCACGUUGUGGGCUUGCUACUGCUGUCAGCUUCCACCUAUGUAAUGUGCUACAACUUUGCAUCAUUACUACUUUCUGCACACCGGCUGAUUCAUCACAGGGAAUUGAAGCCCAACUUUGACUAUUGUCUCUUCAACACAUCCGUAUCAAUUAUAUGGAAUUUCGUAUAACAAAAGUGUCAGGAAAUAGUAAUUUGCAUUGGCUUGUGAUUGGUUGAUUUACCUUUGUGGAGAGUCCACAGGUGGAGGCGAGUUGAGGGCUUCCUAAUUGUUAACAUGUAUAUACAUCUGCUAUCAGGUUCCACCUAUGUAAUGUGCUACAACUUUGCAUCAUUCUUAUUUCCUCCACACCGGCUGUUUCUUCACAGUAAAGGAAAGGAAGAAGGCUUACAUGUAUUAAGUGAAUUUGGUUCAUAUGUGUUAAUUGAUAUACAAUAGAUUUUUCGCAUGCCAUGAACAUAUAACUCACGGAAGUGCAUGUCGGAAUGUAUUCCAGAUAAUUACAAUGUGACGUACUUCUGAUAGUGCCAACAUUUAACCAUUAUCUAAUAAUUGUCCUCCUUAUAUUGAUUCGAUGUCAAGUAUUCUUUCUUUAUCUCAGUACUCAUAAAUGGUUCGGCUUACUUUCAACACAAUUAUUGUAUACUCCCUCCGUUCGGAAUUACUUGUCUCGGAAAUGGAUGUAUCUAGAACUAAAAUAUGUCUAGAUACAUCCAUUUUUGCGACAAGUAAUUCCGAACGGAGGGAGUAAUAUUUGACACUUCUCAGAUUUCCCAUCUAGUGAGUUGACCAAUUUUUCUACCAUUGUUAUUACUACAGAGUAAGUAUAAUAUGGAAGUUCUUGUUCAAAUUAGUAGAAUAUAUGCUUACCGGGUGUUAGAAUUUGUAGAUAUAUACCACAAUUGUCACUACAGAUUAAAUAUAAUAUGAAAGUUCUUGUCAGUUUUCUUUGUAGUUAGUUUGCGAAUCACAACAUGAUCAUUUGAAUAUUUUGUUGUAACAAAUCUAUCAUAGCUAUUAAUGUGAAAGAAAAAUCCUUAAAAAAUCACCCAAUAGCAACCCGAAGAAGUUAAGAGAUAAAUAAUUCAGAUAUGGUUCCAUUAUGCUCCCUCCGUUCAAUAAUAUAUGACGUUUUUUGACAGUACACAGUGCCAAAAACGUCUUAUAUUAUGGGAUAGACGGAAGUUUGUGAUUUUUUUUGUUAUUCUUGAUUCCACAUGCUUCAUUUGGGUGAAUAAUCCAUUGACAUCCAAAUUUGGAGAUAUUAAUUCACCUAUGUAAUGUGCAUAAUCUAUGACACAUUUUUGCUAAGAUGAAUAUGUAAAUAAAUUCUGUACAAUUCCAUAAAUACACAGUGAUGCAUUUUUGUUGUAAAGAUAAUGUAAAUAACUUUUUAUAGCUUUGCAAAUAAGAUUAACCUUGAUGUAUAAAUCCGAUCAGAGUAGAGGUAGCUAUGCAAUGGUCAUGCGUCACAUCAUUAGUCUAAAGCUCUAACCACAUCCAUGGAGAAUCUAACAUCUCAACUACGCAUAUCUGUUUGUUCCAGAAGCCAUGAAAUUGAGGUAUGCAGAAGAUGAAGAAACCUGAGAACUGAUGAUCCAAAGAAGUGUCGGAGCUCGAGCAUCACAUAGCCGUCAACUAUGGUGGCUUGUAGGCAGAUGUGUCUCAGACCGAAGUUGUUGCCGCUGGACCGUGGUUACAUGCAUCCUAGAUUGGAGGCAGCGGUGCAGGGAGAUAUGCAUGUGCAAGGAAAAGAAGUGGGCGAAGGUCAAAGAAGCAAUCUAUGCCUCCCUAUCGCUGGGUCCUGCUCCUCAAUAUGUCACCUUAGUCAUGGCUGCCUUAUCCCUCAUGCUGCUGAUUUGAACCUGCCCUACUCCUCUCCUAGGCUACUCGAGGGCUUCAGCGCGUGCCUUGCCGAUGACAGGGAAGGAAGAAUCAGAAGUGACGGCUAGAGCGCUAGGAAAUUGAAAACCAUAGCAAUUGAUCUUCUCUAUAAAACGUGUGUGGCAAGGGACGUGGAACUUGAUUCAGGGAAGAAGAGAUGGACCACGUGAGAGAAGAGACCAGCUUUGAUCCUUUAUCGGACAGACAAUUUUUUUUUGUGCUAAUUGCCUAGUCCAUAUUGUCCAUGUAUUGGAAGCAUGUAAACGUGUGGCUACUGGAGUUUGUAGGCAAACCUGCUAUAUUGCUUUUGGAUAUGUGUAAGGGCUUUGUUUUUUAUUCUCUUUUUUGCUUUCCAAUUUGGACA